GACGAACGCUGGCGGCGUGCCUAAUACAUGCAAGUAGAACGCUGAAGAGAGGAGCUUGCUCUUCUUGGAUGAGUUGCGAACGGGUGAGUAACGCGUAGGUAACCUGCCUUGUAGCGGGGGAUAACUAUUGGAAACGAUAGCUAAUACCGCAUAACAAUGGAUGACACAUGUCAUUUAUUUGAAAGGGGCAAUUGCUCCACUACAAGAUGGACCUGCGUUGUAUUAGCUAGUAGGUGAGGUAACGGCUCACCUAGGCGACGAUACAUAGCCGACCUGAGAGGGUGAUCGGCCACACUGGGACUGAGACACGGCCCAGACUCCUACGGGAGGCAGCAGUAGGGGAUCUUCGGCAAUGGGGGCAACCCUGACCGAGCAACGCCGCGUGAGUGAAGAAGGUUUUCGGAUCGUAAAGCUCUGUUGUAAGUCAAGAACGAGUGUGAGAGUGGAAAGUUCACACUGUGACGGUAGCUUACCAGAAAGGGACGGCUAACUACGUG
rnacentral:rRNA from 1 species